rnacentral:piRNA from 1 species
UGAAUCCGCCUACGAACCCUGCUGUC